AUUGAACGCUGGCGGCAGGCUUAACACAUGCAAGUCGAGCGAGCGGCGGACGGGUGCGUAAUGUCUGGGACACUGCCUGAUGGAGGGGGAUAACUACUGGAAACGGUAGCUAAUACCGCAUACCAUCAGAUGUGCCCGGGUGGGAUUAGCUAGUAGGUGGGGCAAUGGCUCACCUAGGCGACGAUCCCUAGCUGGUCUGAGAGGAUGACCAGCCAAACGGGAACUGAGACACGGUCCAGACUCCUACGGGAGGCAGAAGUGGGGAAUAUUGGACAAUGGGCGAAAGCCUGAUGCAGCCAUGCCGCGUGUGUGAAGAAGGCCUUCGGGUUGGAAAGCACUUUCAGCGAGGAGGCGUUACUCGCAGAAGAAGCACCGGCUAACUCCGUGCCAGCAGCCGCGGUAAUAC
rnacentral:rRNA from 1 species